rnacentral:rRNA from 1 species
CUUGUACACACCGCCCGUCACACCAUGGGAGCGGGUUCUGCCAGGAGUAGUUAGCCUAACCGCAAGGAGGGCGAUUACCACGGCAGGGUUCGUGACUGGGGUG